CCAGAGUUUGAUCAUGGCUCAGAUUGAACGCUGGCGGCAGGCUUAACACAUGCAAGUCGAGCGGGGAAGUGUAGCUUGCUACAUUACCUAGCGGCGGACGGGUGAGUAAUGCUUAGGAAUCUGCCUAUUAGUGGGGGACAACAUUCCGAAAGGUGCUAAUACCGCAUACGUCCUACGGGAGAAAGCAGGGGUAUCUUCGGACCUUGCGCUAAUAGAUGAGCCUAAGUCGGAUUAGCUAGUUGGUGGGGUAAAGGCCUACCAAGGCGACGAUCUGUAGCGGGUCUGAGAGGAUGAUCCGCCACACUGGGACUGAGACACGGCCCAGACUCCUACGGGAGGCAGCAGUGGGGAAUAUUGGACAAUGGGCGGAAGCCUGAUCCAGCCAUGCCGCGUGUGUGAAGAAGGCCUUAUGGUUGUAAAGCACUUUAAGCGAGGAGGAGGCUACUCUAGUUAAUACCUAGAGAUAGUGGACGUUACUCGCAGAAUAAGCACCGGCUAACUCUGUGCCAGCAGCCGCGGUAAUACAGAGGGUGCGAGCGUUAAUCGGAUUUACUGGGCGUAAAGCGUGCGUAGGCGGCUGAUUAAGUCGGAUGUGAAAUCCCUGAGCUUAACUUAGGAAUUGCAUUCGAUACUGGUCAGCUAGAGUAUGGGAGAGGAUGGUAGAAUUCCAGGUGUAGCGGUGAAAUGCGUAGAGAUCUGGAGGAAUACCGAUGGCGAAGGCAGCCAUCUGGCCUAAUACUGACGCUGAGGUACGAAAGCAUGGGGAGCAAACAGGAUUAGAUACCCUGGUAGUCCAUGCCGUAAACGAUGUCUACUAGCCGUUGGGGCCUUUGAGGCUUUAGUGGCGCAGCUAACGCGAUAAGUAGACCGCCUGGGGAGUACGGUCGCAAGACUAAAACUCAAAUGAAUUGACGGGGGCCCGCACAAGCGGUGGAGCAUGUGGUUUAAUUCGAUGCAACGCGAAGAACCUUACCUGGUCUUGACAUAGUAAGAACUUUCCAGAGAUGGAUUGGUGCCUUCGGUGAACUUACAUACAGGUGCUGCAUGGCUGUCGUCAGCUCGUGUCGUGAGAUGUUGGGUUAAGUCCCGCAACGAGCGCAACCCUUUUCCUUAUUUGCCAGCGGGUUAAGCCGGGAACUUUAAGGAUACUGCCAGUGACAAACUGGAGGAAGGCGGGGACAACGUCAAGUCAUCAUGGCCCUUACGACCAGGGCUACACACGUGCUACAAUGGUCGGUACAAAGGGUUGCUACCUAGCGAUAGGAUGCUAAUCUCAAAAAGCCGAUCGUAGUCCGGAUUGGAGUCUGCAACUCGACUCCAUGAAGUCGGAAUCGCU
rnacentral:rRNA from 1 species